GGCCCCUUAGCUCAGCGGUUAGAGCAAUCCCCUCAUAAGGGAUUGGUCACUGGUUCAAAUCCAGUAGGGGUCACCA
rnacentral:tRNA from 1 species